UACGUAGGUCCCGAGCGUUGUCCGGAUUUAUUGGGCGUAAAGCGAGCGCAGGUGGUUUAUUAAGUCUGGUGUAAAAGGCAGUGGCUCAACCAUUGUAUGCAUUGGAAACUGGUAAACUUGAGUGCAGGAGAGGAGAGUGGAAUUCCAUGUGUAGCGGUGAAAUGCGUAGAUAUAUGGAGGAACACCGGUGGCGAAAGCGGCUCUCUGGCCUGUAACUGACACUGAGGCUCGAAGGCGUGGGGAGCAAACAGG
rnacentral:rRNA from 1 species